rnacentral:rRNA from 1 species
AAAGUCCGUAACAAGGUCUCCGUUGGUGAACCAGCGGAGGGAUCAUUACUGAGUACUACACUCUCUACCCUUUGUGAACUAUUAUACCUGUUGCUUCGGCGGCGCCCGCAAGGGUGCCCGCCGGUCUCAUCAGAAUCUCUGUUUUCGAACCCGACGAUACUUCUGAGUGUUCUUAGCGAACUGUCAAAACUUUUAACAACGGAUCUCUUGGCUCCAGCAUCGAUGAAGAACGCAGCGAAACGCGAUAUGUAAUGUGAAUUGCANAAUUCAGUGAAUCAUCGAAUCUUUGAACGCACAUGGCGCCUUCCAGUAUCCUGGGAGGCAUGCCUGUCCGAGCGUCGUUUCAACCCUCGAGCCCCUGUGGCCCGGCGUUGGGGAUCUGCCACGGCAGGCCCCUAAAACCAGUGGCGGACCCGAAGGGCCCUCUCCUUUGCGCAGUAGCAUUCGCCUCGCAUUGGGAGUCCUCGGCGUCCUGCCUCUAAACCCCCCACAAGUCCGCUUCGGCGGCACCAAGGUUGACCUCGGAUCANGUANGAAUACCCGCUGAACUUAAGCAUAUCAAUAA